AUGUUGUCCAUUGUUGACGAAAUUGACCUUCAAGUUGUGGAACAAGAUGGCAUCAGUGGAGGCAAGGCAAGGUUCUAGGGAAUUUGGUUUAGUUUUAUUAAUUAACAACAUAAGGAAGUUACUACAACACUACUAAUUAGCUAUUAGACAAUAAAUGCAAGGGUAUUUUGGACAAUGACAAAAUGUUUAUCUACAUAAUAUAUAUUUUGGGAUUUAUCUU
rnacentral:lncRNA from 1 species